AUUUGAUAUCGGUCAAAUCUCAAGCAAUUGAGAACGGAGGACCCAAUCUUUUGGGGUUAAUUCUGCAUUCGCAGAAGGGAUGAGAAACUCUUUCGCCAUCCUACCCGUCAGCUAACUUCGUCGACUAAAGCGAAGGAGGUC
rnacentral:sRNA from 1 species